rnacentral:rRNA from 1 species
GAUGAACGCUAGCUACAGGCUUAACACAUGCAAGUCGAGGGGAAACGACAUUGAAGCUUGCUUCGAUGGUCGUCGACCGGCGCACGGGUGAGUAACGCGUAUCCAACCUGCCUCUGACCAAGGGAUAACCCGUCGAAAGUCGGCCUAAUACCUUAUGCAGUCGUCGGAAGUCAUCUGAUGACGACGAAAGAUUUCAUCGGUGAGAGAUGGGGAUGCGUCUGAUUAGCUUGUUGGCGGGGUAACGGCCCACCAAGGCAACGAUCAGUAGGGGUUCUGAGAGGAAGGUCCCCCACAUUGGAACUGCGACACGGUCCAAACUCCUACGGGAGGCAGCAGUGAGGAAUAUUGGUCAAUGGGCGAGAGCCUGAACCAGCCAAGUAGCGUGCAGGAUGGCGGCCCUAUGGGUUGUAAACUGCUUUUAUGCGGGGAUAAAGUGAGGGACGUGUCCUUCAUUGCAGGUACCGCAUGAAUAAGGACCGGCUAAUUCCGUG